rnacentral:rRNA from 1 species
AAACCCCGCAAGGGGGAGUACAGCGGCGAAAGGGUGAGUAAUACAUAGGCAACGUACCCCCGGGAUCGGGACAACCACUGGAAACGGUGGCUAAUACCGAAUGGCCAGGACGUGCGGCAUCGCAUGACCUGUAAACGGUAGGGAAACCUUCUGCCAGGGGAGCGGCCUAUGUCCUAUCAGCUAGUUGGUGAGGUCAUGGCUCACCAAGGCGAUGACGGGUAGCCGGACUGAGAGGUUGGCCGGUCACACUGGGACUGAGACACUGCCCAGACUCCUACGGGAGGCUGCAGUCGAGAAUCUUCCGCAAUGGGCGCAAGCCUGACGGGGCGACGCCGCGUGCAGGAUGAAGGCCUUCGGGUUGUAAACUGCUGUUGCGCGCUAGGAAACCCUGGGGGUUAACAGCCUCCAGAUUGACCAUCGCGUGAGGAAGCACAGGCUAACUCCGUGCCAGCAGCCGCGGUAAUACGGAGUGUGCGAGCGUUACUCGGAAUCACUGGGCAUAAAGCGCACGUAGGCGGGGAUGCAUGUCCGUGGUGAAAUCCCCCAGCUCAACUGGGGAACUGCUUCGGAAACUGUAUCUCUUGAGGACGAGAGGGGAGAGUGGAACUUCUGGUGGAGCGGUGAAAUGCGUAGAUAUCAGAAGGAACACCGGUGGCGAAAGCGACUCUCUGGCUCGUUUCUGACGCUGAGGUGCGAAAGCUUGGGCAGCAAACAGGAUUAGAUACCCUGGUAGUCCAAGCCGUAAACGAUGGGCACUAGGCAGGGGGAGUUCCGAUGCUCUCCCUGCUGGAGCUAAUGUG